rnacentral:lncRNA from 1 species
UCUACCAGAGAGGGCACAUGUGCCUCAAUUGGCCUAUAGCAUAGUGGCUCAUUAUCCUUCCACCGCUGGUGGCGGGCGGUACUCGCUGCUCUGUGAAGCCAGCCUCACGCAAUGUCCGCCACUUUAGGUGUUGGGAUGCAAAGGCUUUCGCCAAGGCAUCCGAAACCCACUACACAACUUGGAAUGGGUGGUCCACAAUUUGUAGCACUAGACCCAUACACAUGCACCACAAUUGAUAUCCACACUACCUUAUUGCCCCCGCUCGGGUUACAAGCAAUCGCUACUUGCUCAGCGAGUGAGGGGGUUCAGGACUACCUAUUUAAGGUGGUGUUGUACUCUAUGAGCCGGCGAUGUGGUAUUUACCAACUACAAAUAGUGUCAUGCAUGUGACUUGCUAGUUGACAAAGUCUGUUGUCGAGCUAGAUGUAGGCUAUGGAUGAAGCACAUUACGAUAUAGUAGGCCUAUUUUGUUUUUUGUUGUUUUUGGGCCACUAUGGACUUUAUGUUGAUGUUGUGAAAUUUUUUCUUGUGUUUCCUCUUCCUACGAUGUCGAAAGUGGGUGCGUCAGAGAAGAAAGAAAGUGUGGGUUGCAUUGAUUUUACGUCAUACCAUUGAGAACACUAAUCAGAACCAGAAGCAACAAUAUUUCAUACAUAUACAACACUUGUAAUCCAUAUAAACAACUUUCCUUUAAAAUAUCAUAUAAACCACAUGAUUUAUAUCCUGGGUCGGUUAUCUCCACAAAGGGCAAGAAAACGCUCCAAGUUUGUAGUAUAGAACUAAAAGUGUCGACUCUCACGAUUUCUUCCCGACAUAUGCAAACUAGACAAUAAUCACAUAAAAUAAAGAAAUAUGUGUUAACACAAACUUAUAGCAUGUAUUUCAACAUAUAGAUUUUUUAUUAUUAUGGUAGAUUAUAUAAUAUAGGGGUUCCCGAAGAAAUACAUAAAAAACAAGAGCAUUAAAAUUUCCUUUUCAGAUCUGGCUAACUGGUAAAGGGAGUUGGAGUAUCUGAGUUUCCAAAUUUGGGACGUCGCUCUAUAGAAGGAAUAUAAAUACAUUGGAAAAAAAUUCUACAAGGAAAGGUUUAAUACAAGUAGGGCUAAGAAAAACUCAAUGAGGCUUUGGUCGCAUGGUCACAAGACUUGAGACAAGAAACACGAAGACACCAAGGUAAUUAGUAUGAGAGUUUUCCAAAUUUGGUGUCUUGAUGUAGAAAAAAUAAAUAUAUGACAAACAUGUAUUUUCGCAAGGCAUGGUAAAAUAAGUGGGAGUGAGCAAUAAAUUUCAUCCUAGAUUUAGAAGGAACAAAUAUAUCACUAAAUACAUUUUUUCACAAUGCCAAGUUAACCAGGCGGGACCGAGAAACAAUUCUAGCAAGGCUAGGUUGUACUAGUCCGAAACUACGUACAACAAAGGAAAAAUGAAGAAAAUGAUGGUCUACCAAAUAUGGCGCAUGAGCCUUAAGGUGCACCUAGAGGGAAGUAGAAGAAAUAAAUAUAUAAUAGGAUAUGUUUUUCGCAAUGCAAGGUAAAAUGUAGAUGUGCUCUAACUGGGCUUAGAUUGCAGCGAUACAUUAUGCAUCCACAAGGCUUGGUUGCACAUGGAAAAAGAUAGAGAGAGAAAUGUAGACGUAGGACCAGGAGAAAAACAUUCAAUGAUACAUUAUUGCACGGACAUAGAACUAGAUAUAAGACAAGAGUUAAAGAAACAUAAAGGAACUAAAUUUUCUUUUGCAUACUAAGCAUGAAUGGAGUUGUAGUAUCUGAUAUAAAAAAUUAAUUUAUUCCAAGAUGCAGAACAAAAUUGUGAUACUCGUAAUGGUUACAUAGGAACAAAAGUAGAUAAGAAAAAUAGCAAAACGAUAGUAGUCUACCAGAGAGGGCACAUGUGCCUCAAUUGGCCUAUAGCAUAGCGGCUCAUUAUCCUUCCACCGCUGGUGGCGUGCGGUACUCGCUGCUCUGUGAAGCCAGCCUCACGCAAUGUCUGCCACUUUAGGUGUUGGGAUGCAAAGGCUUUCGCCAAGGCACCCGAAACCCACUACACAACUUGGAAUGGGUGGUCCACAGUUUGUAGCACUAGACCUAGGCACAUGCACCACAAUUGACAUCCACACUACCUUAUUGCCCCCGCUCGGGUUACAAGCAAUCGCUACAUGCUCAGCGAGUGAGGGGGUUCAGGACUACCUAUUUAAGAUGGUGUUGUACUCUAUGAGCCGGCGGUGUGGUAUUUACCAACUACAAAUAGUGUCAUGCAUGUGACUUGCUAGUUGACAAAGUCUGUUGUCGAGCUAGAUAUGGGCUAUGGCUGAAGCACAUUAGGAUAUAGUAGGCCUAUUUUUGUUUUUGUUGUUUUUGGGCCACUAUGGACUUUAUGUUGGUGUUGUAAAAUUUUUUCUUGUGUUUCCUCUUCCUAUGAAGUGGAAAGUGGCUGCGUCAUAGAAGAAAGAAAGAGUGGCAAGCAUUGAUUUUACGUCAUCCCAUUGAGACCAGUAACCAAAAGCAGAAGCAACAAUAUUUCAUACAUAUACAACAAUUGUAAUCCAUAUAAACAACUUUCCUUUAAAAUAUAAUAUAAACCACAUGCUUUAUAUCCUGGGUCGGAUAUCCCCAUAAUAGGAUAUGUUUUUUGCAAUGCAAGGUAAAGUGUAGAUGUGCUCUAACUGGGCUUAGAUUGCAGCGACACGUUAUGCAUCCACAAGGCUUGGUUGCACAUGGAAAAAGAUAGAGAGAGAAAUGUAGACACAGGACGAGGAGAAAAACAUUCAACGAGACGUGAUUGCACGGAUAUAGAACUAGAUAUAAGACAAGAGUUAAAUACAAAUAAAUGAACUAAAUUUUCUUUUGCACACUAAGCUUGAAUGGAGUUGUAGUAUCUCAUAUCAAAAUUUAAUUUAUUCCAAGAUACAGAACAAAAAUGUGAUACUCCUAAUGGUUACAUAGGAACAAAAGUAGAUAAGAAAAUUAGCAAAAAGAUAGUGGUCUACCAGAGAGGGCACAUGUGCCUCAAUUGGCCUAUAGCAUAGCGGCUCAUUAUCCUUCCACCGCUGGUGGCGGGCGGUACUCGCUGCUCUGUGAAGCCAGCCUCACGCAGUGUCCGCCACUUUAGGUGUUGGGAUGCAAAGGCUUUCGCCAACGCACCCGAAACCCACUACACAAGUUGGAAUGGGUGGUCCACAGUUUGUAGCACUAGACCCAGGCACAUGCACCACAAUUGACAUCCACACUACCUUAUUGCCCCCGCUCGGGUUACAAGCAAUCGCUACU